CUAUGGAGGCUCCCCCAACUCUCCAGAGUAGACUUUGAAGGGAGCACAGUGGAGAAGGAGAGGAUGAGGAAGUCCCAUUGAAUGCGCCAAUGUAUGUUCCACUUUUGCAACAGGAGGGUUGGAUACAACCUAUGGCACCACCACCACAAAACCGGCCAUAUCUUUGUAACCAUAUGUGCUUAAUACUUUCUGACAGCCAUUUGUAAUGGGGUUAAAGCGGACAAGCAACACAGUCAUGUGUCCCUCUUGGUAAAACCAAAUUUCCACCAUGCGCUCUAUAUCUCACCUGUCAUUACAGGAACACAAAUUUAGGAACCAAGAAAGCAGCUAUCUAUUGUUAAUUCAGACUACUUGUCCAUCUUGCCCAGUUUUGUCUGCCAUGACUGGCGUUAGGAUCCCAGGCACGGGUCUAACGUCACUUGCUACCUGGGACCUUCUGCAUUCUAAGCAUGUGCUCCACAUAGCUAGGCCUUUCUGUUCAUCAGAGCUAGAGAAAAGUUGAUUUUAAACAUGCAGCAAUAUGUGCUGACAUAACAAAUAUAAUUUACUCUCCAGGUAAAGUGAAAAGUAGCCGCUCUUCCUCCUCCUCUUAACAGUUCACCGCUACUCUAGAUUUUCAAUUCCCAUAAUAAAGAUUGUGACAACCGUAACACACACUGUAUAUAAAAUAAUUACUUUUCCCUGUCAGCUGGUAUUACGUCAGACAUGUUCUUAAAACAAUACAAGUGAGCUUCAAUAGAGCCUCUGAAAGGGAACUGCAAUGAAGCAAUUUAGAAAUGCAGCAAUAAAAUGGAUGGUAGUUGCUGAAGUCUAUUCACUGUGAAUUACCUUCAAUAUAUUUACCAUUUCUGGGUUUCUAGAGUGCUUUCCAGUAAUUACAUAGUUGCCUUGAAGGGACAGUACUUCCUCUAUCAGCUCUUUUAAAUUAAAUCUACACAGGACGUGACAAAUGGUCAUUUAGGCAAGCUAAGAAUCCAGGCAACAAUGGAGGGGAAGGGAAACUAUGAAUAAAGUCCUUGAUAAGGCGGAGGCAGCAUAUUUCCCAAUGAAUGGAGGAAACUAUCCUCUAGAAUAACUUCUGACUCUUUAAAUCACGGGUGGGGGACAUGUAGCCCUCCAAAUAUUAUGGCAUUGUUAACUCGCACCACCCCUGACCAGAGGCCGUGCUGGUUUGACUGAUGGGACUUAGCAUCCAGCAACAUUUAGAGGGUCACCUACCCCUGCCAUAAAGGCCUGUUCACUAAUGCAUGGUGGAUAUAAAUGUGGUCACCAAUAAAACUAGCAGAUGCUCCGUUUUGUUGCUGUUUUCCAGCUAAGGUCACAGAGCAAUAGGCAGAAGUGUACUGAAGUGAGCAGGGGCAGGCAAUGUAUUGCCCUUCAGAUGUUGUUAGUCUACAGCCUUUAUCAUCAAAGCAGCUCACAGUAAUCACAAUGGCAUUAACAAACAACAACAAAAAUUGCAAUCACUGUAAUACCAAACAUAGUAGCAUAUAAAUAAACUUGUCACCUACCCAGCAAAACAAUGAAUACAAUUCAAUAAAGUAAUAGUAAUUCAUAGUAUUGCCAGGAUACUUCCUAAGCACAUGGAGCUUUACUCCAGAAUAACAAAAAAUGGAUUGGCUAAGUCCUGUUGGUUAUCAAAUGCAUUGUUUUGCAACAAUGGUUGGAAAGCUUCCUCCUAGUCCACUGAGAGUGAUCAGUGUAUGGGAUCAUGUCACAAAUAGCUCUUUGGGGAUGUAGUUUGUGGACAAAAGGGCAAUAUUACGUGUGUGUACUUGAAGUCAGCUUUAUUGAGUUUAAUAGAAUUUUGGCCCAGGAAAGUGUGUUUAGGAUUCAGACUCCAUUUCCUUUCCAGACAGGAUCAGUGUCAGCAGAAAUGUUGAAAGCCAAAUAUAGCCGAAGCAAAAUUGUCCAGAUAAGCCUAAGUGAAAUUAUUGGACUUAAAACGGUGUCUCUCUGUGUGUCUACGUUGGUACUUGGAGUGAAUUAAUUAGUAUGGAAGAAGUGCUUUGAAGAUGAAAAGCAUUUUGUAAAGACUAAGCAUUAAUUUUGUCGCUGCAUUGUAAUCGUUCCCAGUUGUUCCACAAAUUAGUUGCCUAAUAAGGCUUUAAUAGUGCUCAUUUAUCUUUUCCGUAUCAGGUGUGAGCCACAGUUGUUAUAAUAGCUUUACAGCUUCUUUUCUCUUUACAUAAAAGAGCAUUUUCAUAAGUGAGGUUUAAAUCACUUUUGAGCCUUGUGUGCGCUAUUUAUGUCAAUGUUUGCAUGUUGUUCAUUUAGAAAAGGAGCAUUUAGUAAACGUGAGCAAAUAUCCCAGCCAAGGUGGGUUUUUUACAUUUACAUUACAAACCACUUGAGCCAAAAGCACGUUAACAGCCACAGGCAGGAAAAUGCCUUAAGUAUUUAAAUGACAGGUGGAAAAACAAACAAAAUAAUAUUGUUGCCAACUGUAGUCUGAGUCUUUCAACAUCUGAGUGGCAGACAGUUAGCUGGAACAUUCAGAUGCUCUUGGAUUAAGUUAACUUUAUGGAUCUCAAUCCAGCUAACUUCCAGCUGGGUUCCAGAACAGGAACAUCCUAGGAUUUGCUGGCUAGCUUGCUUGCAUCAGGAGAAGAUGGGGGUGGGUAGGUUGUGGGUUUGCACCAUUAUUUAUUUUCUUAAGACUUCUCGACAGCUUUCAGUAUUGUUGACUAGUUCCUAUGGUGUCACUUUGGACCAUCUCUAUUGUUUGGGAGAUGGUGCUUCUUCUUUCUCCCAAAGAGUAUGCACCAGGAGGUGGUUGUAACAGAAGAAUGAUUGACUGCCAGGUGUGUGGAGUCAGAAAGUGACAGGUGCAGAGAAUCAGUUGAGAAAGACAAGAGUGAGAGAGGGCGUGUGAGGGCAACCAUAGGUAAAAUGCUGGGAGUUAGAGGGAAGUCAGGUUUGUUAGGUUAGUAAAACUACUCUUGUUCUUUAUUAAAUGACUUCUUAUUGUUUGGUAUAUCCCAAGAAUAAGCUGUAGGGUAACCAGCCUAGCAUUCUUGAGUCCAAUUAGUGCAUGAAAGGGUUAAAUCCAUAGAGAAAGCUGUCCUGUCUGUCACUUCCUCUCACCACAAGAGGAAAUGGGUAACCAGGCCUUUGUCCAUGUGAAAUUCAGUAUGUAAGGAGCUCUGAGCUGAUUGCUCCAACCAGCACAGGGCUUUAACUAGCCUCUCUUGUUUCAGUCCUGAAUGGAGUCUGAAACUAGCAUUUUUUUCUGUACCAAUAGUUUGUUUUGUAACUAAGCAACAUUUUUAAUUGUUUGGGCAUCUUUUGUGACUACUGCAUGGAAAAAGCACAGAAAUCUGACCUUUGAAGAGUUAUGUGUAAUGAACAUUAACUCCAGGUGUGCCACACAGCAGAUGACAGGACAGGGGGGCAAUGAGAGACAGAAGCCAUGGCUGCCUCAUCUCUUUUUGCAUCAGGAAACUUAAAGUCUGACUGACAGACUGGAUGCAGAGCUGCUUGGGAGAUACCUGCAUAGCCUGUCAAACAUCUUUCCAAACUUGUCGUUCCAGCCGAGUGUUUGUGCAAAGCAUCCAACAUCACCCACUUAUAAUCUUAGAUUUCACUUCAGAGCCGACUGCCAGGAUAUAGGUGCGCGAGUGUGUGCAAGCUCUGACCUUAUGGCAUAUGAACCCAUAAUGAAUGAAAAAUGUGCUUGCAUUGCCUCUUCUUGCCAUAUCCCGCAAUAUAAAAGGAAUCUGAAAGCUAA